rnacentral:rRNA from 1 species
AGAGUUUGAUCAUGGCUCAGAACGAACGCUGGCGGCGUGCUUAACACAUGCAAGUCGAGUGCGCGGUUGUAGCAAUACAACUGGCGCACGGCGCACGGGUGCGUAACACGUGGGCAAUCUGCCCUUCGAUGGGGGAAUAACUCCGGGAAACCGAAGCUAAUUCCGCAUAACAUUCCUUGGACUUCGGUUCGAGGACUCAAAGCCGUAAGGCGUCGAAGGAGGAGCCCGCGCACGAUUAGCUAGUUGGUAGGGUAACGGCCUACCAAGGCUUUGAUCGUUAGCUGGUCUGAGAGGAUGGCCAGCCACACUGGAACUGAGACACGGUCCAGACUCCUACGGGAGGCAGCAGUGGGGAAUCUUGCACAAUGGGCGAAAGCCUGAUGCAGCGACGCCGCGUGGGGGAUGAAGCAUUUCGGUGUGUAAACCCCUUUCGACCCGGACGAAUGCCUCGCAAGAGGAGUGACGGUACGGGUAUAAGAAGCCCCGGCUAACUACGUGCCAGCAGCCGCGGUAAGACGUAGGGGGCCAGCGUUGUUCGGAAUUACUGGGUGUAAAGGGUUCGUAGGCGGUGUGGCAAGUUGGGAGUGAAAUCUCUGGGCUCAACCCAGAGGCUGCUUCCAAAACUGCUGUGCUUGAGUGUGGGAGAGGCGCGUGGAAUUGCAGGUGUAGCGGUGAAAUGCGUAGAUAUCUGCAGGAACACCCGUGGCGANNNCGGCGCGCUGGACCACAACUGACGCUGAGGAACGAAAGCUAGGGGAGCAAACAGGAUUAGAUACCCUAGUAGUCC